AUGGUUGUAAAGCACUUUAAGCGAGGAGGAGGCUACUAGUAUUAAUACUACUGGAUAGUGGACGUUACUCGCAAAAUAACCACCGGCUAACUCUGUGCCAGCAGCCGCGGUAAUACAGAGGGUGCGAGCGUUAAUCGGAUUUACUGGGCGUAAAGCGUGCGUAGGCGGCCAUUUAAGUCAAAUGUGAAAUCCCCGAGCUUAACUUGGGAAUUGCAUUCAAUACUGGAUGGCUAGAGUAUGGGAGAGGAUGGUAGAAUUCCUGGUGUAGCGGUGAAAUGCGUAGAGAUCUGGAGGAAUACCGAUGGCAAACGCAGCCAUCUGGCCUAAUACUGACGCUGAGGUACGAAAGCAUGGGGAGCAAACAGGAUUAGAUACCCUGGUAGUCCAUGCCGAAAACGAUGUCUACUAGCCGUUGGGGCCUUUGAGGCUUUAGUGCCGCAGCUAACGCGAUAAGUAUACCGCCUGG
rnacentral:rRNA from 1 species